rnacentral:misc_RNA from 1 species
UGGUUCUGGCAUCGAUGAAGAACGCAGCGAAAUGCGAUAAGUAAUGUGAAUUGCAGAAUUCAGUGAAUCAUCGAAUCUUUGAACGCACAUUGCGCCCUUUGGUAUUCCGAAGGGCAUGCCUGUUCGAGCGUCAUUUCAAACCCUCAAGCUUAGGCUUGGUAUUGGGCUUUGUCCAGUUUCUUUUAGGAGAAUAAUGGACAUGCCUAAAACUCAUAGGCAGUUGUUUUCAGCUUCUCAGCGUAGUCAAAUCUUUUACAAUCGCUUCGAAGUUUUUUCUGGAAUCAACCCGCCGGAAAACCACCAUAUUUUUCACAAGGUUUGACCUCGGAUCAGGUAGGGAUACCCGCUGA